rnacentral:misc_RNA from 1 species
GUUCGAGCGUCAUUUCAACCCUCAAGCGCAGCUUGGUGUUGGAUGUCACCUCUAGGUGCGUCCUAAAACAAUCGGCGGUGGCAUUCAGCUUCUAGCGGAGUAACUCAUCUCGCUCUGGAGCCUGGAUGUCCCACAGCCAAAACACUGAUCUUUAAUCAAAGGUUGACCUCGGAUCAGGUAGGGAUACCCGCUGAACUUAA